rnacentral:rRNA from 1 species
GACGAACGCUGGCGGCGUGCUUAACACAUGCAAGUCGAACGGAAAGGCCCUGCUUUUGUGGGGUGCUCGAGUGGCGAACGAGUGAGUAACACGUGAGUAACCUGCCCUUGACUUUGGGAUAACUUCAGGAAACUGGGGCUAAUACCGGAUAGGAGCUCCUGCUGCAUGGUGGGGGUUGGAAAGUUUCGGCGGUUGGGGAUGGACUCGCGGCUUAUCAGCUUGUUGGUGGGGUAGUGGCUUACCAAGGCUUUGACGGGUAGCCGGCCUGAGAGGGUGACCGGCCACAUUGGGACUGAGAUACGGCCCAGACUCCUACGGGAGGCAGCAGUGGGGAAUAUUGCACAAUGGGCGGAAGCCUGAUGCAGCAACGCCGCGUGCGGGAUGGCGGCCUUCGGGUUGUAAACCGCUUUCGCCUGUGACGAAGCGUGAGUGACGGUAAUGGGUAAAGAAGCACCGGCUAACUACGUG